rnacentral:rRNA from 1 species
GACGAACGCUGGCGGCGUGCCUAACACAUGCAAGUCGAACGGACGAGGAGGAGCUUGCUUCUCCAAGUCAGUGGCGGACGGGUGAGUAACGCGUGAGUAACCUGCCCUUCAGAGGGGGAUAACGUCUGGAAACGGACGCUAAUACCGCAUGACAUAUUUCCAUCGCAUGGUGGAGAUAUCAAAGGAGCAAUCCGCUGAAGGAUGGACUCGCGUCCGAUUAGAUAGUUGGCGGGGUAACGGCCCACCAAGUCGACGAUCGGUAGCCGGACUGAGAGGUUGAACGGCCACAUUGGGACUGAGACACGGCCCAGACUCCUACGGGAGGCAGCAGUGGGGGAUAUUGCACAAUGGGCGAAAGCCUGAUGCAGCAACGCCGCGUGAGGGAAGACGGUUUUCGGAUUGUAAACCUCUGUUCUAAGUGACGAACAAAUGACGGUAGCUUAGGAGAAAGCCCCGGCUAACUACGUGCCAGCAGCCGCGGUAAUACGUAGGGGGCAAGCGUUGUCCGGAAUUACUGGGUGUAAAGGGAGCGCAGGCGGAGAAGCAAGUCAGUGGUGAAAACGAUGGGCUUAACUCAUCGACUGCCAUUGAAACUGUUUCCCUUGAGUGAAGUAGAGGCAGGCGGAAUUCCGAGUGUAGCGGUGAAAUGCGUAGAUAUUCGGAGGAACACCAGUGGCGAAGGCGGCCUGCUGGGCUUUAACUGACGCUGAGGCUCGAAAGUGUGGGGAGCAAAA